UACGUAGGGGCAAGCGUUGUCCGGAUUUAUUGGGCGUAAAGAGCGUGUAGGCGGCCACACAGGUCAGCUGUGAAAACUCGAGGCUCAACCUCGAGACGUCGGUUGAAACCGUAUGGCUAGAGUCCGGAAGAGGAGAGUGGAAUUCCCGGUGUAGCGGUGAAAUGCGCAGAUAUCGGGAAGAACACCCGUGGCGAAGGCGGCUCUCUGGGACGGUACUGACGCUGAGACGCGAAAGCGUGGGGAGCGAACAGG
rnacentral:rRNA from 1 species